CAGAGGUCCCAAGCGUUGUUCGGAUUCACUGGGCGUAAAGGGUGCGUAGGUGGUCGGGUAAGUUUGAUGUGAAAGCUCCGAGCUCAACUCGGAAAUUGCAUUGAAUACUAUUCGGCUAGAGGGUUGAGGGGGGACUGGAAUUCUCGGUGUAGCAGUGAAAUGCGUAGAUAUCGAGAGGAACACCAGUGGCGAAGGCGAGUCCCUGGACAACUCCUGACACUGAGGCACGAAAGCUAGGGGAGCAAACAGGAUUAGAUACCCUGGUAGUCCUAGCCGUAAACGGUGCACAUUUGCUGUAAAAGGAAUCGACCCCUUUUGUGGCGAAGCAAACGCGUUAAAUGUGCCGCCUGGGAAGUACGGUCGCAAGAUUA
rnacentral:rRNA from 1 species